rnacentral:rRNA from 1 species
UGACUGAGCGGCGGACGGGUGAGUAACGCGUGGGCAACCUGCCUUACACAGGGGGAUAACAGUUAGAAAUGACUGCUAAUACCGCAUAAGACCACAAAACCGCAUGGUUUAGUGGUAAAAACUCCGGUGGUGUAAGAUGGGCCCGCGUCUGAUUAGGUAGUUGGUGGGGUAACGGCCUACCAAGCCGACGAUCAGUAGCCGACCUGAGAGGGUGACCGGCCACAUUGGGACUGAGACACGGCCCAGACUCCUACGGAAGGCAGCAG